AAGCAGAGGAAGAAUCAUUUCUGCUUUUAUAAACUCCACAUGUCUUGAGCACACGGUCCCAGAAGUCAGCAGCCUAAUGUUGUGGUGAUGUUGAUGAACCCACUACAGGGCCGGAUAAUCCCCUCUGCAGAUGUUUGCUGAGAUUAACGCUGUUUAUUGCAGUUAUCUAAACUAAGAGACAAACAGGUCUGACCCUGAAAACCACAAGUAUUCAGACAACUGCAGAAAAGCAAAUGAUCUAAAUGAUCUCACUAAAUGAUCUACAUCUAUCGUCUGGAAAAGUCAAAUCCAAAAUCUAAAGAAAUCACAGAGACAAAGAGAAUGGCUACUUGGCAUGAAUAUUUAACUUUGCUAUCCCAGUGUUGCAUCCUGGAGCUCCGACCAAAUUUUUGCGUGUCUCUCCACCUUUUGAUUUCCAAACUACAAACGUGCAGAAAGCAUCAUCUGUUGGAGGCACGAGUUGACCUGAAGGCACUCUGUUGCACCUGAUCUCGGUUUGUUUCACAGCAGAGUGCUCAGAGCUUUUCAUACUUUUGGUGGUGCAUGAAUUUUAAUGCAGCAAAAUAUUCUCUCAUCCCAUGUGAAGGAGGAACUAUUCUACACUGGUUGAAUACCUGUAAACCGCACAUCGUGACAUGUGAACAUAUGAAAGAGUUAUAGGGAGUAGAAGCAGCAGCGUUGGGUCUAUGUAUCUGCAAACACGGGAGCUCUUUGGAUGCUUCAGGCUUGGCAUGUUUGUCUCAUUGUAAGAAGAGUUAAAAAGAAACUGCAAUGACCUUUUCUAAACUAGACACUUUCCACAAAUUACCUGCAAUGCCGUGCACAAUUCAAGAUGGUGUAAGGAGUCAAGAGUGGACAGGGAGUUCAACCAACAGCUACUGGAGUGAGGACUGGGAAGCAAGCUGCACAUUUGUAGGAGUGAAGUGGUGGGGCCCAGAAUCCCUGGCGGCACCCCUGCUCAUCUAUUCCUGACUCUGGAAAUGAUCAAAUCAUUGACGUGUGAAUUACAUGUAAAGUAAACCGAGUAAAUCACAGGCGAAAAUACGUGCACGGAUGCCACAGAUUUACAACAAGUUCAAGUUGAACGAUUUUUUUCGUUUCAUUUGCUUCUUUGUGAAAGUUGAAGAAAUCGUACACCGGACCAAAUCAGCCAAUCAGCAUGAAGAUCCCUGAGUGAUGUUUAUCAACAAGGACUCUGCGGAGGUUUACUUCACUGAAUGAAUCGACCUAAAAUGAACCAAAAGUCUUGGAGCACUCCUGCAACACUGACAGCAGCUUUUUUUAGAGAAAGAGAGCAUGAAAGAAAACAAGGCCACACACACACGUUUAACCUGAGGUCAGCAGCUGUGCGUAUGCAGAUUGAUGGCUCUUGGAGGUUGCAGUUUGUCUGACAUCAGCAUUUGUCAGCUGGUUGAAGAUGAACUGAAGUGACCCCAGAUCAAUCACAACCUCAUAUCUGUAGUGAAGGGCCUGCCAUCCUUUCAAACCCGUCUACUGUCAGAAAUCGUGUAAUCCAGAUCUAUGAACAGAAGAUUUCCUCUCUUGAAUGGUAAGUGAGGUUCUUCAGUUGUUUCAUUUGCUUCUUCAGAAGUGCACGAGUUGAUUGACUCUGCAUGUAGCCACAGGACUAACUUUGAAUCCUGCAAUGUUGUGUUUCAGGGCAACUCCGACCGACAAACCUCCUCCAAUCUACAGAUGCGCAAGUGUCUGACAGCAUUUCAGAAAGAGACCCAGGUAAGAUCCUCCUAAACACCGAAAAAGCUGCCACAAAAAUACAUGGACUAAAAACUUUGUUUUAUCUUGCAGGACACAGGGGAUGCUGGGCUACAACUGCCUUGAUCAGCUGAUUUGUUUGUUUGCAACCAAUCAAAGCAUGAGUAGACCUGCAACUCCUGAGUCAGGGGCAGGGUAGAGUUUCAUUUUUCACUGCAAAAGAAGUGGAACUCUACCCUGCCACAAAUGGCCUUUCUCUGAGGGGUCCUUUCUGCAAUGUCACCGCUCUCACCAACAAUCAGAUCCUGUCAGCACCAUUCCCUUUGACGUGGCACACUUUGAAUAGUUCAACCAUGGCCUUAGCUCAUGUUUCUUGUUCAGUAAAAGAGCAGACUCUGAAGAAAAGUGCUCACUCUGCUGUAGUUCUGCUGAGUUAGUUCAAGAGUUUUCAAAGUUCUGUCCCUUAAAGGUAAAUCUGAAAAGUCUUAACAUUGAAGUCAACCACUUUCAGAUCUUUUUAUUCACACAUGGAGAGGACAGCGCUUCGUGAAAGCUCUGUGUUCACUGACACUCCUUUUGACUCAGGAUAAUAAGUGUUGAUUGGCUGAGGUCGUAUUGCUUCCUUUCAUUCUGAUGCUGAUUCAGAUCCGACUGCUCGCCCAAGAAAAAGAUGCAUCACAGAUAAUGAGAAAAACAGGAGACAGCAGGGAUCAAUUUCUCCUCCUCCAUUAUGUUUUCUUUCUCCGAGCGAGGCAGGCAGACGUUGGACAGGAUUGUUUUCUGAGCAGACGUCAAUCAAACAGACACCUGGUAGCCCAUGUGUCACUGCCUGGUCCACAUACCUGACAGUCUGCAUGGAGCUGAGCUGAAACUUUACUUCAGAGUCCUUCGCCCCCACACAGACUUUAAAAACUUUCAGAACCUGCCCUCACUUUUCCACAUAAGUCAGGUUUAAAUAAGUUAGUUAUUGCAUGAAAUCAAACUUCUCAUAGUUGGACUAACACACUGGAAUAAUGUGAUUUUUCUCUGCCAUGUAAACACUCCUGUCAGACUGAAACUGACCUAAAAUGCUCGAGAGUUUGCAGGCUUUGGCUCAGAAGUUAAAUAGUGUAAAUGCAUUGUAAGGGGCGUAAACGAAGUAUUCAGUUUGUCAAUUGUUUUGGUACAUAACUGCUGAAAGGAGGCAUGUCACCACCGACUGUAAAAAUCAGUCACGACAAGCUGCAGAUCUGGCCCCUAAAAAAAAUGUAUGUCUUCUGUGAUCAACCAAAACUUUUCUUAGUAAGCAUAAAACACAAGCUGACAGGAGCAGCCCCAUGAAGUUAGUCGUCAACUGCGUUUGCAUCAGAGCUACUUUCAGACAGUACCAACUGUUUGCAUUUGCUUGUUUUAAUCUGGCUUCAAUCAAUCAAUCAAUCAAUCAACUUUAUUUGUAUAGCACAUUUAAAAUAACCACAAGGGUAGCCAAAGUGCUGUACAGUGACAUAAAAACAAAUAAAACAAUCAAAAAACAAGAUAACGCAAGCAGAAAUACAGUAAUGCAAAAGAAUAAACAAGUGUAUAAAUAAGGAGGCUCACAGCAAGUGCUAAAAUGAUAAAAAACAAAUUAACACUACAAUGUACUAAAAGCCAAUGAGUAAAAGUGCGUUUUUAAAAGGGAUUUAAAAACAGGAAAUGAGGAGGCCUGUCUAAUUUUCAAGGGCAACUCAUUCCAGAGCUUAGGGGCAGCAGCUGCAAACGCUCUGUCCCCUCUGAGCUUCAGCCUAGUACUGGGGACCGUCAGUAAAAGCUGAUCAGCUGAUCUUAGGGGUCGGGGUGGGCGAUAAGGCUGGAGCAUCUCCGAAAUAUAGGGUGGAGCAAGGUUGUUCAGGCCCUUAAAAACAAAUACUAAAAGCUUAAAAUGUAUUCUGUACUGAACAGGGAGCCAGUGUAAGGAUGCCAGGAUGGGGGUGAUGUGCUCACGCCUGCGGGUCUGUGUCAGGAGACGUGCAGCAGAGUUCUGCACAAGCUGCAGGCGGGCAAGGGAAGCCUGGCUGAUCCCUACGUACAAGGAGUUGCAGUAAUCAAGACGGGUAGUUAUAAAAGCAUGGAUUAAUUUUUCCAGGUCAGGUCUUGAUAAAAUGGGCUUCACCUUCACUAUUUGACGUAGCUGAUAAAAACUUUUUUGUACCACUCCGCUGAUCUGCUUCUCAAAUUUAAAAUCCGGGUCAAAUUUAACUCCCAGAUUAGUGACGACCUCCUUUAGGUAGGGUGAGAGGGAGCCUAGGUCGAUGUUGGGGGGUGGCCGCCACUUGGUCCAAACAACAUUACCUCAGUCUUGUUCUCAUUUAGACUGAGGAAGUUAAAAGAAAGCCAGGCUUUAAUGUCCUUAAGGCAGUACCAACUGUUUGCAUUUGCUUGUUUUAAUCUGGCUUCACCGGCCACCCCAGUCGAGUCCAAUGUCCCUGCCUGACAUUAUGCAGCCGGUUUUCUUAGUUAAGAUCAGCUGAGCCCACUGUGCAGCAGCUAAGAUUGAGUAGACAUGUAAGUGUUGCAAGUGCGGUGUAUUGUUUUGCUAUUUCAUCUGGUGGAAACCAGGACAGAGUUGUUGGAAACCAAUUUGUUUGAGUGUUUUUAAAUCAGGUAGAACCGUCUGCCGUUCAUGUUUUUCUGCAAUCUUGUUGCACACUUUCCGACUUGAGAUGUAAACUCAAUUUCUCAAGAACAAAGUACAAAGACAUCUACAACACCAAUGCAACAUCCGAUGGAGGAGCAUAGAUUCACCUUUAAGACAAGGUUAUGCCAUCGUACAGAUUCACCCUUCAUGCAUCCUUCUUUUCCUCAGACCAGAGGCACUCUGUUUGCCAGACUGCAUGAUCAGGCGAGAUACUGCAAAGCGUUUGUUCACUGAGGUGCAGCGAUACACAGAGCAGCAGAGUCUGGCUGGACUGAGGCUUCAGAGUCCACUGGAUCUGAUGUAACUCCUCGCUGUGCUAUUUUGGAUGAGCCUGAAGGAAGAAAACCUGGCCUGCCUGUUGAAAGAAACACAGAGACGAGUGGAAGCACAUCAUUUGGGAUGUUGAGUUAUUGCUCUUUAUUUCUAAUUCUCAAACAAACAUCCGUAGGUCUCAUAACAGGAAAAAAAAAGUAAAAAAAAAAAACUCAUCAGCCUUUCUGGGGUUCAGUCAGGUCGGAUCCAAAUCAGAUCAUCCAAACAGAGCUGUACACUCUUUCUCUUUAUCGUGUGAUUCACUCUCUAUAUGAUGUUUGCUGUACAUUCAAACACAAAGUGCCCGUGAGGAACAUCGACCCUUUCCGUGUUUGCAAACGUGAGCAGGUUUUGCAUGCAACCCUGAGGCAAGAAGUUCGUGUGCACGGGCAGCCGCUGUGACUGACAAGGUCAAAGGUCAGUUCACAUUGUUCUGUCAUUUGUCAUUAUUUUCUAUCUACAAAAAAAAAAAGCUUUUAAUAAUGUUCAGUAAUAUUCCUGGGGUUGAUUUUUGCAUACACUGCUUGUGGAUUUGCUCAUCAAUACGUCAGUGUUUAUGAUUUAUUGAUGUGCAAUGAUUUAAAAAUCAUUGAUUUCAGAUUAAAAUCAGGGCUGUCAAACAAGUAAUUUCUCAACCAGUGAUUGUCAUUGAAUUUCAAUAAAAAAAAUUAUCAGUUGUAGUAAUUUUGACUUUGUUUGAUUUGCUAAUCAAAUGCAAUGGAUGUGUCUGUUUACAGAGAGCUGAUGUAAAAAUAGGACAAGAUGGAGCCCCGUCCUGUAAGAUCAGACCUUCUCCCAUCCCAUCUUCAACCACAUGAGUGAAAGUUUGCAGCAUUUAGAAAGUUACAGUGGAGAGUAAGAAGUAAAGAGUAUGGAUCAUCCACUUCAUAAAACCUUGAUGGACUAAAGGGCCAAUGGUGGUGGAUGGCUCCUCUGUCUUCGCUGAAGGACAGAAAGAUUCAGAAGAUCUUUGGAACCCACAGCAAUUUGAAUCUCCCUUGAGGGAUCAAAAAACUUCAUCCUUCUUCUUCUUCCUCUUCUUCCUUUAACAGGCAGAAACCUCGAGCAGAACCAGACUGAUGUUGGACAGUUAUCUGCCGAGACUGAGCUGGGUUUAGAGAGGGAGAUGGAGAAAUCCAGAGGAACCUACGGGAUGAUGGAGCUCAGGGACUCCCAGAAAAGACUGUAUUAGCGACUCUAACUGUACCCGAUGAUUCAAAGGUAAUGACACAAACAGAUAAAGGAUAAAGAGGGAGAAAUGUGCUCUUCCCCCUACACCUGGACUUGUAGAUGUCAUACGCAGACCGUCUUUGGGGAGCAUCUUUUUUGUUGAGUAUCAUACUUGAGAAAGUGUCAACCAAGGUAAGGAAGAACAAUCACUAAAAAAUAAAAAUAAAUGAGAACUCCAUUCACCCAAAAUCUCCAAAUCUUUAAUUACCUCCUGAUUGAUCUGAACUGUAGGUUCACCUUCCACCCCAAGUUUCUGUAAACAAGAAAACAGCCACACAUUUACGACACAGUGUCACCAUCUGCUUCUCAGUCUUCCACCAAACCGCCUCGACAUGUUCCCCCUUUUUUUUUUCUCUGUAUGCGUUUUUUUCUCCCUCUCCUCCUGCACCUUCCUGCACUUGAACACCUGAGGGAAAUGUAACAGCGUCCUCCUCCUCCUGGUAAUAAUACAAGCAGACUUUCCUCAUGUUUUAUUCAUGCUGUCUAACAUGGUGAGCUGGAUUUUUAAAUUAGAGGUCAUCUUGUGUUCUGGCUCUGGACGCUGAGGGAAUUACCUUCUCCACAUGAUCUAUGUGUGUGAAAAUACAUCUUUGUGUGUGUGCGUGUAAAUAAAAACUGUGUGUAUUUGUGAGUCUGCAUGAACCAGUUGGUGCAUUUGUUGGUGUGUGUAUAUCUUUAAAUAAGUGUGUGUUUGAGUGCCUUGACUGUAAGUGCAUGCUAAAGUAUCUAAAAGCUUGGCUGUAUUAUGAAGGAUAUGUGUGUUGAGUGUGUGCGCUGGUGUGCAGAAGUGUGUGUGUUUAUGUGUGAGAUAUCUGUCAUCUCUCUGGUGGGAUUACAGCGCACCUCUCUGCCUGCUUCCUUAAACUUUCAUGAUAUUUGUACCUGGCAGCGUGUGUCUGCGCUACACGCUUUAAGGACUCAAGUCUUUAAGAGGGAAUCAAGAUCCAGCCAAGGAUCCUGUUAGACCCUUAAAAGUGUGCUGUGUUUUUUCUGGACCAAGACAAUAACUGCAAAUACUUGGAGUCCUGGAAGCUGGGCUCAGACUUAGUCCAGGUCCUCUCAUUUAGAUGACGAAUAAUGAAAAAUGCCAAAAUGUUUUGGAUCUGAAAUGUGACCUAGACAAAGUUGUCUAAAUCAAUUUCAAGAACAUUUUCAUUUAAUAUUCAUUAUAAAAUAUGACAACACAAUUCCACCUGUUUAUUUUCAUGUCAUAUGUCAUGCCCAUAGGAAGGUGCCCUGCCUAAAUGCUCCAAUACAACUCUGAAAACAAAACAGAAAAGCAGCAGUAGACUUUAAGAACAAGGAGGAUUGUCCUAAAUUAUGAACAAAAAACAAUGUUAUUCAAAGUGUGUCAAAACUCUCUGAAGAU